GGGCACAAAGAGCCCUCUGCACUGGCGCCGCAGGACCGAGGACCAGGACCCGAGAGUUCAGCAAGUUCCUGGGACAGAAGAGAAAGAAGGGAGUUUCUGGCAUCUUGGAGAUGCUCACCAUUGCACUGGAAAGGAGCCUUGCAGAUAAGUAUUCAAACUUACCAGCCCAUAGCCUACCAGCCUGCCCUCUGCUGGUCUGUGCAGGAAAGUACAAUAUCCCAGAAUUCUCAAGGGGAAGAGAAAUCCAUGCAGCAGCUCAUUCACUUUCCCACCUCUACGCCACAAACAAAGCUUGUCCCUGAUUUACGGGGCCCCCAGAAAUAAUUUUCCUACCCCUUUUGGCAUCAAGGUUAGUAUUCUAUAAACUCCACCAUCAGGAGCUUCUGAGCUGAGUUUAAUGACCUUACCUUGAGCACCUGUAGAUGUGGAGUCAGAAGACUCCUUGAGAUGGGCUGGCCCUUUCCUCCUGAGUUCUGAUCCUCUAUCAUCAUAUUGAUACAGCUUGGCUAGGGCUCUUUUGCCUGGCAGUCAAGCAGGGACUUCAGCACUGUGGCCCCAGGGCACAUACUUCACAGGGUGAGGGUCCAAGUACAUCUCUAGCCCUGGACCCAUGCCUCAAGCUGAGGUACUGGCAGCAAGCUCAGAAAACAUACUGAGAGGGCCCCUGACUCUCCUGGCCCAGGUCUGCCAGUUGAUGGCCAUCACGAAAAGCAAAACCUGGGAGAUGGUCUUUGGUUAGGAUUCGUGGGCAUUCUCUGGGCUUCUCCAGACUUGUGACAUGGGGACUGCCUGCCAUCGGGUCCCCAAGCUUUUCCUGAUGCCUCAGAAGAGAAAGUGGAAGAGGAGGGCGGGUGCGGGAAGAUACCUGAGGUUGGGCAGAAGGGCCCCUUCUACGUCCCAUCCACUGCCUCCAGCUACAGGUUAUGACUGUACGCUUUGGGUGGAAGUCUGGACUGGAAAGGCCCUGCCUCCCAGAGAGACUUCCCACGGCAGCACGGGAGGCAGAGCUGGGAUUGGACUCUGGGUCCCCAGCUCUUGUCUGAUGCUCUCGUUCAAGCUGUCAUCCAGCUGAGUUUGCCUUGCUGUCUCUUGGGUGGGUCACGUUCUACCAUCGAUGGGGACAGGGAACCAAGGAUGUUCUGGGGCAGGAGGAAGGGUGGUGGGGGCAGAGUGCCUGGGCCCACCCUCCCUUGCUCCCAGGCCUUCCUGUUAGUAGAAAGUUCUGGCCUGGGCUGGCUGGGGAGGGGGCCUGGGUAUGGUUUUCUCCUGCGCUGUGUUUGGAUCCUUUGUCUUCCAGGAUGGGCCUCUGGGGUCUGCGUGGGGUAGGAGCCUGGGCUGCCAGCAUUUUGGCUGGGUGCUGUCAGCACAAGUAUGGACCACGUGACUUCUCCAGGAUGAUGCUGAGGAACCAGAGGUCAAGACGAGGUGUGGUCCCGCCCUCUCAGAUCUUCAUGCUUCUUGGCCCCGCAGCAUCUCCAGGACACCCAGUCUGGUCUUCUGGAGAGCCUGGGUGACCCUGGGCACAGUGACACAGGGAGCAGCCGCCGGUGGUUUUCUGGAUAAGACCUCACCUUUCCUGACUCCUGGGAUGGAGAAUCUCCUGGACAAAGGCCCCUCCUGGUUGGUGCCCAGCCAAAGACAGGACCCAGCUCUGGAGGACAGCUCAAGGGGUGGGAGGAGGGCUGGCAGCUGGCCGCCCCCUCUGCUUCUCUCUGGCCCCAUCUGCCAGGCCCUCCUCCCCAGGCCUGGAGGCCCCUCCUGACCCCCCGUGGACUUGGUUUCUCCUUGCAGCCCUGCCAGCCAUCAGGCAGAGCUCCGCCUGGGCCAGGACAGGGGCAGGAACGUGGGAUGGGAGUCGGGUAGGAGCUGCAAGUGGGAGGCAGGUCGAUGCAGCCCUGGGGUGCCGUUGGCUGGAGUCUGUCUUGCGCUGUGUGAGUGAUUCUCAUUUUUGUGGGGGAUUCUUGGAUGGGGCCUUUUGGUGCUUCUUUUCUACCUGACAGUCAAAGGGAGAAGGCAGGAUGGGCCUGGGGGUGGGGGGUGGCUGGACCUCUUGCUGGGGUGUGGAGCUCUGGGAGGGGCAGUGAUCCUGAAAGGAGAGCAGUUCUGAGAGAUGAGAGACCCUGCCUGGGGGAGGGUCUUGCAGAAGGAGCCAGACACUGGGCCUUGGUCCUGCCAUCCAAAGGGAAUGUUCUGGAAUUGGCCUCACCUCAAGGCUUGAGAGGUCACCCCAGCUCCAUCUCAGACCCCUGCUCCUUGUCACAAUCCUGUCCUUGGGGAGCAGAGACAGUUAGGGCGGGCUCCACACGCAGGCAGCUUCCCCUGUCACAGAGCUACACCCUCGCUUCCGUGCCCCAUCCCCAUUCUCGCCUCUUCCAGCCCCUCAAGGGUGGCCCGUCCCAGGACUUGCAGGACAACAGGCUUCCUCAGGCAAACUUAAGAGCCUGAUGUCCUUUUCCCAGGGUGGUGAGGGACCUGUGUUAGUCUGCCUGGGCUGCUGUAACAGAAUACUGUGAUUCAGUGGCUAGAACAGCAGAAAUGUAUUUUCUCAGGUUCUAGAGGCUGCAAGUCCCAGAUCAGGGUGCUAGAGAUGGUUUGUCCUGAGGCCUCUCUCCUUGGCUUGCAGAUAGAAACUUCUUGCUCUGUUCGCACAUGGCCUUUUCUCUGUGCAUACACAGGGUGAGAAGGCGAGAGAGAAAGAGAGGGAGAGAGAGAGAGAAAGAGAGGGAGAAAGCAAGGGUGAAGGAGAAAGCGAGGGUAAGAGAGAAAGGGAGAGAGAGAGAAAUAAGGGAGGGAGGAGGAGAAAUAGAUGACUGAAGUCUCUUCCAUUUCCGAUAAGGGCACCAGUCCUGUGGGGUUAGGGCCUCAUUCUUAUGACCUCAUUUAGCUGUAAUGACCUAUGUUAAAGCCUAUCUCCAAAUACAGUCACCUUAGGGGUUACAGCUUCAGCCUAUGAAUUUGAAGCCCGGUGGGGGGACACAGUUCAGCCCAUUGCAGGUGGUCAGAGCAGACAUGGAAAGCUGAAAGGCUCCCCUUCAGAACUCCCGCCCCCUAAUAGGGAGGGGAAGGAGGGGCAGAGGCAGGGGAAGGGCUCUGCUAGGCUGGCCCAGGAGUCUUGGGGAGACAGCAAAUGAACGGGCCCUCGCCCAGAGCAGCGAGGAGGAGCCCCAGGAGAGGGAUGCCUUGGGGAAGGGCAUGGGCUUUGGAGCCCGAGGGUGCGCCCUCUGCUGCACAGCCUUAGGCAAGUCGCCUCACCCCUGGGAGUCCGAUGUUCACUCUGAAACAGGAUUGCUCCCCUGGGGGGCACAGGGAGAAGUCAGUGAAAUCAUGCGCCUGGCUCUUAGUAGGUUUCAGUAAACACUCCCAUCUGUCGGGGAGUUCAGAUGUGGGCUUACCUCUUUUUGGUACUCUGGACUGUAAACUCAGCAUCUUCGGCCCAGAGGCGUUCCUAGCCUGUUUUUCCAUUUGUGUGUUCUUAAUAUUCCUCUCUAAGCAGAUCGAGCAAUCAGCUGCAUUGGCCUGGCCUCCACAGUAACUCCCAAUGCCUCCUUUAAUAUCUACUCCUCUCAUUGGAAGUAAGCGCCUGCUCUGAGCCCUUCCCCGAGCUGCUUACUUGAGGGGAAUGUAAAUGAAGACGUGCUCAUGACUCCAGCCUUCAGGGUUUCACAGCCAUUGGAAGAUGGGGCAGAAAGCAGUCUACUGAGGCACAGGUUCCCAGCGCUUGGGUGGGUGGGAGCAAGACCUCAGGGUAGGCUGGAAGGGCUUCCCAGCAAGGCUGAAUCAGUCAGGACCUUGGAGGAUGAGAAGGAUGUGGCUUAGUUGAGUUUCUAGGGGGACAGAGCACAGACUCCCAAAGUAGGUUCUAGGAGAUGUUAUUGCUCUUUUAAAAAAAUAAAAGUUCAAAU
rnacentral:lncRNA from 1 species